GAGAGCAGGAUGCGUAACGAAACACGCACGUCCGGUUCGGCGAGAGGCAGCAAGAAGCCAGCCGUUGAAAGGUGGCCCAGCGCUUACUGCCUACUCUAC
rnacentral:ncRNA from 1 species